GCCAGGCAUGGUGACUCAUGCCUGUAAUCCCAGCACUUUGGGAGGCCGAGGUGGGCGGAUCACUUGAGGUCAGGAGUUUGAGACCAGCCUGGCCAACAUAGUGAAACCCCAUCUCUA
rnacentral:SRP_RNA from 1 species